AUGUUUUGUCCACUCGUUUGGCUCUGCUCAGCUGGUAGCCUUCCUUCACCAAUGCCGCCAAUUCCUCUUCCUCCAACCCCGUGCGCUGCCGAUUCGACCCCACGCCCCGCCGGCGACGCUGUUCCUCACCGGAGCCGAAAGCCGAUAACGCGCCGCCAACGCUGCCGCAUCACCACCACGUCCUCUUCAUCCGCCUUGUACGCCGCCCGGGUCCUCAUCGCCGACGCCCCCACGCCCCGCGCAUUCUCCGCGCUUUUCAAGGCCGCCUCAUCCUCCUCCCCCUCCCCCUCCCCCUCCCCCUCCCAAUCCCUUGGUGCGCAGCUCCACGCGCAGGCCGUGGUGCGUGGCUUCUUGGGCGAUGUGGAUAACACCAUCCUCUCCACCGCCAUCCUCAACUUCUACGCCUCAUGCCGGGAGCCCGACCUCGCGCGGCGGGUGUUCGACAGAAUGGCACGCAGGAGCGCCGUCACCUGGAACGCGCUCAUCAAAGGGUACGCGCAGGCGGGCCGCCGGGACGAGGCGCUGGCGCUGUUCCGCUGCAUGAGGAGACAGGACGGUGUCGCCCCCGACAAGUACACGUUCCCGGCGCUGCUGUCCGGCAUCGGCAGGAAUCGUAGUGGCGGCUGCGUGCAAGAACUCGGGGCGGCCGUGCACGCGCAGGUCGUCAAAUCCGGGCUGGACAAGGAUCCGUUUGUGGGCGCUUCCCUACUUUCUAUGUACGCGGCUACAGGAGCACUGGAAGAUGUGAAAGCCGUCUUUGAUGAUAUGGAUACUUUGGACCCGGUUGUCUGGUCUUCUAUGAUCUCCGCGUAUGUCAACUGCAAGGAGGAAGAAGCUGCUCUCCUUACAUUCUACAAGAUGUUGUGCCAAGAUAUUACGCCGAGGCAGUUUGUCUACUCCAGCCUGUUUGCCAUCUGCGGGAGCAUGUCGAUGCUGGAGAUGGGUAGGCAAGUUCAUGCCCACAGCCUGAAGAACAUAACUGACAACGAUGCCGCCAUGACAAAUGCACUUUUAACCAUGUACUCUGAUUGUGGAUGCAUUGAUGAUGCAUGGAGAGUCUUCGAUUCAAACGACAUUGUAGAUGUAAUAUCCUACAAUUCCAUGAUUCUGGCUCUUGGACAGCAUGCACACCCGAAAGAAGCAGUUGAACUCUUCAAGCGGAUGAAGUUUUCUGGUUUGAUACCUGAUGAGGUUACCUUACUGAAUCUUCUUUCCGCUUUCAACCAUGCUGGUCUUGUUCAUGAAGGUUUGCAUUUAUUCAAUUCCAUGUUGGAUAUAGAAGGCAUAAAACCGUCGUAUCAACAUUAUGCCUGUGUUAUUGACAUGUUGGCGCGAUCAGGAGAAAUCGAGGAAUCCAUGAAAACAAUUAAGGAAAUGCCCUUUGAAGCUGAAACACCGUUAUGGAGGAUUGUUCUUGGUGCUUGUAGCAAACAUGGUGAUAUUGAAACUGGCAUGAAGAUUGCAGAAAUGCUGUUUGAGAAGGAACCUUAUGAGCCCACAAAUUAUAUACUACUUGGUAAUAUCUACGCAAGAUUAGGAAGGUGGACAGAGACAGAAAAUAUUAGAAGUUUGAUGGAAAAGAGCGGUAUAGAUGGGGAUGAUGCCUUUAGUUGGAUUGAAAUGGGCCAAAGGACACACAGAUUUGGUGUUGAUGACCGUGCACACCCCAUCUCCGAGGAGAUAUAUAGGAAUUUGGAUAGGUUGAUGGGUAGUAUCAAGGCUGCAGGUUAUGUGCCUGAUACCAGUUUUGCCACACACAGCACAGGAAAAAACAGAAGAGAAGAAUCACUACGUUAUCACUGCGAAAAACUGGCCUUUGCUUUUGGGGAUUUGGCUUCCCCUUCUGGAGACACUCUCCGCAUCAUGAAGAACCUCCGUGUUUGUGGUGAUUGCCAUUCUGCAUACAAAUACUUCUCCCUCGUCACAGGAAGAAAAAUAGUACUGAGAGACAACCACAGGUUUCAUCAUUUUUAUAAGGGGGCUUGUUCAUGUCGUGAUUACUGGUGA
rnacentral:rRNA from 1 species